ACGCACCACUCACUCUUUUCCUCUUCUUUUCUUUUUCCUUUUCUUUUCUCACUCUCCUCUCUCUUUUCCACGCAGCCCCUCUCCCUCUUUCUUUUCUUUUCUCUUCUCUUUUUUCUCCCAUUUCCUCCCUUAGUUGCAGAAAAUGAGAGGACCCGUGAUGAUCCAGCUGAGAGAGAGAGAGAGUCACGAUGCAAAGUUGAAGAAGAAGUAGACUCCGGCCAUGGGCUUCUUGAGGAUAGUGUCUGGAUUGGAGACUUCAAUGGGUUCUCCAAUGUAGUGUUCGAGUUGGAGUCCAAUGCAGCCAAGAUGAUGUUCUUUUGGCUGCAGGUAUUCCGGUCGUAGUUGAUAGCAUUGUAGAAGGGUAUUUUGGAUGUUAUGACUGAAGCACGCGCAACAGUCGUAAUUGGUGGACCACGGGUUGUCCACUUGUUUAUAGGUUUGGUUUAUGGCUUUUGACAUUUGUGUCACUUAUUCUUGUAAAGCCAUUUCUGUCAUGUAAUUAUAUUCAUGAAAGACUUAAACAGAAAGAUUUAAUA